ensembl:lncRNA
GAAUUUACCAAGAUCAUUUGUGGAGAAAAGGUGUGUUGGGAAGCACUCUGCCAAAGGAUGAUUAUUUACAUUUGACUUGGCCACAUCAACUUCGUCCAAACAGGUCUCCGGCUCUGUGUCAGCUGACAUCUGCAGACGGACAGACGUCCCGCGAACGGUCCGUGGAUGUCUGGGGAACAAGGCGCCGUUCAUUUCUGUGCCAUCUCCAGGGAGGUGGACAGCCUUCAAAUCAAUCUUGAGCUGUCACGGCCCUUUGACGACGCAGGAGGCCACCCUGAACCUCUCCCCAGGGACAGUGACUCUCAGAGGGCCUCAACGUUGUCGCCUGCCUUGGGCCCUGUGGAGCUCGGUGAGAGACUGUUUGUUUUAAGAAGAUUAAUC